UACGUAGGGGGCAAGCGUUGUCCGGAAUCAUUGGGCGUAAAGCGCGUGUAGGCGGCUUGGCAAGUCGGGUGUGAAAGCCCCGGGCUCAACCUGGGAAGUGCACUCGAAACUGCUUGGCUUGAGUACUGGAGAGGGAAGCGGAAUUCUCGGUGUAGAGGUGAAAUUCGUAGAUAUCGAGAGGAACGACCGGUGGCGAAGGCGGCUACC
rnacentral:rRNA from 1 species